rnacentral:rRNA from 1 species
GGAUUAGGCAUGCAAGUCGAACGUGAAGGGUUUCGCAAGAGACCUUGUAAAGUGGCGGAAGGGUGAGUAAUGCAUAGAUAACUUGCCUCUGAGAAGGGAAUAACCAUUUGAAAGGAUGGCUAACACCCUAUGAGACCACGGAUCGCAUGGUCUGUGCUUAGAGAUGGGGACCCGCAAGGGCCUUUCGCUCAGAGAGAGGUUUAUGUCCUAUUAGCUAGUUGGUGAGGUAACUGCUCACCAAGGCAAUGAUGGGUAGCCGACCUGAGAGGGUGACCGGCCACACUGGGACUGAGACACUGCCCAGACUCCUACGGGAGGCUGCAGUCGAGAAUCUUCCGCAAUGCGCGAAAGCGUGACGGAGCGACGCCGCGUGGGUGAUGAAGGCCUUCGGGUUGUAAAGCCCUGUUAACUGGGAAGAAUGGCAACUGGUUAAUAGCCUUUUGCUUGACGUAACCAGUAGAGGAAGCACCGGCUAAAUACGUGCCAGCAGCCGCGGUAAUACGUAUGGUGCAAACGUUGUUCGGAAUUACUGGGCAUAAAGAGCACGUAGGCGGUUGGGCAAGUCCGGUGUGAAACCCCUCGGCUUAACUGAGGAACUGCAUUGGAAACUGCUUGACUAGAGUGCAGGAGGGGAGAGUGGAAUUCCAGGUGGAGCGGUGAAAUGCGUAGAUAUCUGGAGGAACGCCGGUGGCGAAAGCGACUCUCUGGUCUGCAACUGACGCUGAGGUGCGAAAGCUAGGGGAGCAAACGGGAUUAGAUACCCCGGUAGUCCUAGCCCUAAACGAUGGGCACUAAGUAGAGGGGUUUU